AACCCUGAAGUGUAACUACAUGUCAGACUGCAAAUCUGAAGUCGGCACCUGCCCCGGGUUU
rnacentral:tRNA from 1 species